AUAAAUAUAUUAUGUCUAGAUUAAUUUUGAGCUUGCUAAUUUUUUUCCUCAGCUUUUACGUGCCCUUUCACUUCAUAAAAAAUUCUUUUUCAAAGAUCAAGGGCAGCUCCCUUUUUCUUGUAUGGUCUCAGACUCAUUAACGGAUUUUACAGGAGAGUUCCAGAUUUCUGAAUCAGAACAACAGUUACUUAUAAACUGCUUCUUAUGUCUGGGCAAUUAUUUCUAUUAUCCCAUGUUUCUCUUUCUGUUUUUAGGAAGGUUGAACCAGAACUGGUUAAUAUAUUACUUUACAUAGCAAAAGGACUUUGCCUAUGUGAUUAAAUUGAGGAUCUCAGGAUGGAAAAACAUUGUCCUAAAAUGGAUUACUUCAGAUCCUGCAAGAAGCAAUUGCUGAGGAAGAAUUUCAAAAAUCUGCCAAUUUGUAUUAGAAGAAACAUCCAGGAGGGCUAAUGAAGAGGUUGGAAGAAAAGUUUGGGCAGAAGGACAUUGAGGAACAUUUGAAUUAAAAUAUCUGGAUUCAGAACAGAUGCUCUUGUCUACUGCUCAGUGUUCUAGUACCUAUUUCAAAGCCUUGA